rnacentral:rRNA from 1 species
ACACGACUACAUUAGAUACCCGCGUAGUCCUAGCCGUAAACGUAUACUCGCUAGGUGUCGGCCACGGUGCGACCGUUGUCGGUGCCGUAGGGAAGCCGUGAAGCGAGCCACCUGGGAAGUACGGCCGCAAGGCUGAAACUUAAAGGAAUUGGCGGGGGAGCACCACAACGGGUGGAGCUUGCGGUUUAAUUGGAUUCAACGCCGGAAAUCUUACCGGGACCGACAGCAACAUGAAGGCCAGGCUGAAGACUUUGCCGGAUUAGCUG